rnacentral:rRNA from 1 species
UGCAAGUAGAACGCUGAAGGAGGACCUUGCUCUUUCCGGAUGAGUUGCGAACGGGUGAGUAACGCGUAGGUAACCUGCCUGGUAGCGGGGGAUAACUAUUGGAAACGAUAGCUAAUACCGCAUAAUAGUAGAUGUUGCAUGACAUUUGCUUAAAAGGUGCAAUUGCAUCACUACCAGAUGGACCUGCGUUGUAUUAGCUAGUUGGUGAGGUAACGGCUCACCAAGGCAACGAUACAUAGCCGACCUGAGAGGGUGAUCGGCCACACUGGGACUGAGACACGGCCCAGACUCCUACGGGAGGCAGCAGUAGGGAAUCUUCGGCAAUGGACGGAAGUCUGACCGAGCAACGCCGCGUGAGUGAAGAAGGUUUUCGGAUCGUAAAGCUCUGUUGUAAGAGAAGAACGAGUGUGAGAGUGGAAAAUUCACACUGUGACGGUAUCUUACCAGAAAGGGACGGCUAACUACGUGCCAGCAGCCGCGGUAAUACGUAGGUCCCGAGCGUUGUCCGGAUUUAUUGGGCGUAAAGCGAGCGCAGGCGGUUAGAUAAGUCUGAAGUUAAAGGCUGUGGCUUAACCAUAGUACGCUUUGGAAACUGUUUAACUUGAGUGCAAGAGGGGAGAGUGGAAUUCCAUGUGUAGCGGUGAAAUGCGUAGAUAUAUGGAGGAACACCGGUGGCGAAAGCGGCUCUCUGGCUUGUAACUGACGCUGAGGCUCGAAAGCGUGGGGAGCAAACAGGAUUAGAUACC